UGGAUAGCUCAGUUGGUACAGCAUGAGACUCUUAAUCCCAGGGUCAUAGGUUUGAGCUCCACAUUGGGUAAA